GGCCACCGGCCACGAGGAAGAGGGACUUUUGCAUUUGGCAGCUGGACGUUAGUGACCAAACUCACCAGCCUGUUACGCAGUCAAGCACCCUCCUCUGAGCUACAGCAACCUUCACAGCUGGCAAUAAAGGCACCUUAACCCCUGAGUUCCUUCAGUGUGUCCACCUCUGGGGUCCAGCUCCAAUCACCAGAUACUCGGGGUAUGUCUAUACUCUCUGCCAAAUUGGCAGGCAGCGGGAGAUCAAGUGGAGGG